rnacentral:rRNA from 1 species
GAUGAACGCUGGCGGCGUGCCUAAUACAUGCAAGUCGAGCGAACAGAUGAGGAGCUUGCUCCUCUGACGUUAGCGGCGGACGGGUGAGUAACACGUGGAUAACCUACCUAUAAGACUGGGAUAACUUCGGGAAACCGGAGCUAAUACCGGAUAAUAUAUUGAACCGCAUGGUUCACUAGUGAAAGACGGUUUUGCUGUCACUUAUAGAUGGAUCCGCGCCGCAUUAGCUAGUUGGUAAGGUAACGGCUUACCAAGGCAACGAUGCGUAGACGACCUGAGAGGGUGAUCGGCCACACGGGAAGGGGGACACGGUCCAGGCUCCUACGGGAGGCAGCAGUCGGGAAUCUUCCGCAAUGGGCGAAAGCCUGACGGAGCAACGCCGCGUGUGUGAUGAAGGUCUUCGGAUCGUAAAACUCUGUUAUGAGGGAAGAACAAAUGUGUAAGUAGCUAUGCACGUAUUGACGGUACCUAAUCAGAAAGCCACGGCUAACUACGUG